GAGUUUGAUCGUGGCUCAGAUUGAACGCUGGCGGCAGGCCCUAACACAUGCCAAGUCGAGCGGAUGACGGGAGCUUGCUCCUUGAUUCAGCGGCGGACGGGUGAGUAAUGCCUAGGAAUCUGGCCUGGUAGUGGGGGACAACGUUUCGAAAGGAACCGCUAAUACCGCAUACGUCCUACGGGAGAAAGCAGGGGACCUUCGGGCCUUGCGCUAUCAGAUGAGCCUAGGUCGGAUUAGCUAGUUGGUGGGGUAAUGGCUCACCAAGGCGACGAUCCGUAACUGGUCUGAGAGGAUGACCAGUCACACUGGAACUGAGACACGGUCCAGACUCCUACGGGAGGCAGCAGUGGGGAAUAUUGGACAAUCGGGGGCAACCCUGAUCCAGCCAUGCCGCGUGAGUG
rnacentral:rRNA from 1 species